rnacentral:lncRNA from 1 species
CAGGAAGUAGCGGCCGCCCUUGGAAAGGCGCCGCGCCAGAGUUUCAGUAGGCAGGUAGGAAUCCAGGGCAUCGCCCACCUAGGAUCAAAGGGUCAACAAGGGAUGCUUUGUACUCUCCCAAUUACUAGAAGCCAGGGCGGCCUGACGCACAGACCAGGCGGCAGGUCUCACGAGUGCCCCGCGAUCCUUCAGCGUGAGCCCCCGAAAGCCCCUGCCAGAGCGCGCGAUUUGAAUACACUUCCUAACGCGCCAGUUUGAGCGCUCCUCGGAGCGUGGACUGGCCUGCCGAGAAACCAUGUCUUCACUCUACCAAGUCUGUCAUGGUCCGAGCAGGAAAACUCACUAGGGUCGCUGUAAACAUAAUUUGGCUUGUGUUGAGGAAGCCCUACAACUUCUGUACAUCGCGUGGAAGGCAGUUUUGUCCUUGUUGAGAAACAGACUUGAAACAAAUCCGACGUCAUCAAACAGCCGGCAGUAAAGAAUGUCACUUUUGGCCGGGCGCGGUGGCUGACGCCUGUAAUCCCAGCACUUUCGGAGGCCGAGGCGGGCGGAUCACGAGGUGGUCUUUAUUUCCACAUCUCCAACAGGAGGGCUGAACACAAAUUGAACAUACUCGUGAAAUCAACACCCAGAUGAAGACGUAGACCAGUACCCCAGGAUGCCCCUCCCCAGUAUCCUUCCCACCGUUAACUGUUUCCCUGACUUCUAACACCACGGAUCAGUUUUGCUUAUUUCUGUACUUUUUGUAUGAAUAGAAUCAUACACUGAGUAUGACCUCUC